AAUGAACGCUGGCGGCGUGCUUUACACAUGCAAGUCGAGCGAGGCGUCCCGCAAGGGGCAGUCGAGCGGCGAACGGGUGAGUAACGCGUGGAUUAUCUGCCCUGAGGUGGGGGAUAACCCGGGGAAACUCGGGCUAAUACCGCAUAUGACCGUGAGGUCAAAGGGGGGUCGCAAGAUCUCUCGCCAUAGGAGGAGUCCGCGUCCGAUUAGCUAGUUGGUAGGGUAAUGGCCUACCAAGGCGACGAUCGGUAGCCGGCCUGAGAGGGUGAUCGGCCACACUGGAACUGAGACACGGUCCAGACUCCUACGGGAGGCAGCAGUGGGGAAUUUUGCGCAAUGGGCUAACGCCUGACGCAGCAACGCCGCGUGGAGGAUG
rnacentral:rRNA from 1 species